AGACGUCUACAUUAGAUACCCGCGUAGUCCCAGCCGUAAACUACUGCGCGUUAGGUGUAUCGGUGACCACGAGUCACCGAGGUGCCGAAGGGAAACCGUGAAACGUGCCGCCUGGGAAGUACGGUCGCAAGGCUGAAACUUAAAGGAAUUGGCGGGGAGCACCACAACGGGUGGAGCCUGCGGUUUAAUUGGACUCAACGCCGGGAAGCUCACCGGAUAGGACAGCAGAAUGAUUGCCGGGCUGAAGACCCUGCAUGACUAGCUG
rnacentral:rRNA from 1 species